ACCAGAGAGAAAGCAGAAAGUGCUUCCUUUAAGUGAAAAGGUGAAAGUUCUCAACUUAAGGAGAAAAAGAAAUUAUAUGCCUAGGUUGCUAAGAUCUAUACUAAGAAU